rnacentral:rRNA from 1 species
AGUAACGCGUGGGCAACCUGCCUUAUACAGGGGGAUAAACAGCUGGAAACAGCUGCUAAUACCGCAUAAGCGCACAGCGGCGCAUGACGCAGUGUGAAAAAACUGAGGUGGUAUAAGAUGGGCCCGCGUCUGAUUAGCUGGUUGGGAGGGUAACGGCCUACCAAGGCGACGAUCAGUAGCCGGCCUGAGAGGGCGGACGGCCACAUUGGGACUGAGACACGGCCCAGACUCCUACGGGAGGCAGCAG